GGUCUAACUUUUUGAAAGACUUAUUAAGUUCAUAUGAGGUUAGAUAUUCCAGAAGACAAAAAGUUAAAGACUUAUGAUUUGCAUAACUCACAUGUGGUAGCUGCUGCCUUGAAGAAGAAAAAGACAGAACUAUCCAAAUAGAAAUCAUUUUGACCCUGAGAUAACAGAAGAUUGAAAUGAAGCAUGUUGUGAUAUAUAUUGAAAAUGAAAAUGGUCUGUAGAAAGCAAAACAAUAAAAAGCUCUUCAUGAAACCAUCCAGGCCCCUGACCAUUCCCAGUCUAGAAUCCAUGCACAUAAUGACCAUGUAUUGGGGGAUCAAUUACGGCCUCCAUGGAAAACAGAAAUCCAGUUGCUUCAGUCAUCCCUCUGUUUGAUUAUAGAGACAUGUUACCAGAUGUGCUAUGUGAAAUGAUUUAAUUCAAAUUCCCUGAUUUCAAGGAUUUACCAACUUCUCUCUAGAGACAUUUGUGAAGUAAAUGUUAAGAAAUGAAAACAAUUUGUCUUUGGUUGAAUUAUUGCUGCUUCAAAUCUCUAAGUCCUAAAAUGCAAACGAAAUUUAAUCUCUGGCUACAGCCUACUCUCUGCGUGACUGAAUUAUAAACAAGCUAAGCACAGCUUGGAGCUGAGGCUGAGAUGUGAGCGCAGGCAAUAAUGCAGAAAUUUCAAGGCCUUGGUUCUACUUCUAAAAGAGUAGCAAAGUCUGUGUUUGGCAAUGUCUGUGUCUUGUCCAUGAUAGGUAGGUUAGGUAGGUAGAUAGACAGGCAGACAGAUAGAUAGAUAGACAGGUAGACAGACAAAGAUAGAGCAAUAAUCUGUAUUUUACCCAGAGGUUUGAAGGUAAUGUUCUUCCACAUUCAAACAUUGCUUCAGUCCUCAUAAAAAUCCCUUGAAAUAUACAUACACAGAAAGAAAUGAGAAAACUACAAGUGAAGUAAUCUUAUUUUAUUUUUCAUACUAAAGCUCUAGGACUAUCUGACCUCAAAGCUCCAAAAUCCAUGCUUUGAUCAGUGAGUUAAUCAGACAGAAGUGACAGAAGUUGAAGGGGAUAGGGCAU